CCUGCAGCACUCGGGAGGGCGCGUCUGACUCCUCUCCUGGGUCGUUUCGGCUGGAGUAGGCGGGGGAACGCACCGCGAGCACCGACGUCCCGCUGUUGUCUUUGCGGUCCUCAGAAUGAAAUCCACAUUCACUUAAAGCACUCCUCAGGCUUUGAGGACCUGGCCCUUUUCUCUCAUUGAUCAUACUGCCUGCUCCUAUUCUGAGGGUAACAGGAGCCUCAAGGAGGAAUGUCCCCGUUUGCCAGGAGGAUCUUCUGUUUCCCUAUAAUGUUUCAAAGAGUCUCAGUAGAAGAAGCAUGUUUUUGACAAAAAGAUCAUCAAGGUACAGCUCAGCACAUUCUCACAGACGGACUCACCCUGGUCCAGACAUCAUCAGCAUCCUGGAAGUUGCCAUGCCACCUAUCACCACCCCCACGAACGGAGCCACUAUGCUGACUUCUAAAGAUAGAUUAUUUUUGUCUGUUUCUGUGCUUUACAUAAAAAUAUAUGCUCUG